rnacentral:lncRNA from 1 species
GAAGUGAUGUAGCAACACUGCCAUUGACGCACAUGGGGUGUAUUUUCAGGGUACAGUGAGAGGCUGUUAAACUCAGGUGCUUCAUGGAGACGGAAGUCGUGAACUCGUCUGGACUUUUACAAGGAUGAAUAGACCCACCCUCUCACCAGCAUGGCUCAUCUUGCUGAGCUUUGCCGUUCCCCAUGCUACGUUCUGGAGAGGGGCAAGGUAAAGCUGUUGAGUUGUUAUGGAGUUAGUGUUGUC